rnacentral:rRNA from 1 species
AUUGAACGCUAGCGGGAUGCCUUACACAUGCAAGUAGAACGGAGUGGCGAACGGGUGAGUAAUGUAUCGGAACGUGCCCAGUAGAGGGGGAUAACUACGCGAAAGAGUAGAUAAUACCGCAUACUAUUAGAGCGGCCGAUAUCGGAGUAGCUAGUGGGUGGGGUAACGCCUCACAAAGGAGACGAUCCGUAGAUGGUUUGAGAGAACGAACAGCCACACUGGGACUGAGACACGGCCCAGACUCCGACGGGAGGCAGCAGUGGGGAAUUUUGGACAAUGGGGGAAACCCUGAUCAAGCCGUCCAGCGUGGGCGAUGAAGGCCUUCGGGUUGUAAAGCACUUUUGGCAGGAAAGCGGUACCUGCAGAAUAAGCACCGGCUAACUACGUGCCAGCAGCCGCGGUAAUAC